rnacentral:lncRNA from 1 species
GAAAGGAUUACGUGAUGAUGUUGGCGAAAUCCAUAAAAUAUUUGAAGGGGUUUGCAUUGUGAUCAACGACAAAAUGGAGCUGUUAAAGGCUUCACUAACACACAUCUCUCUCUCUCUCUAGAAACACGCUUCACCACGACACAAGGUCUCUCUCCCUCUCUCUCUCUCUCUCUCUCUCUCUCUCUCUCUACUCUCUCUCUCUCUACUCUACUACUACUACUACUCUACUACUACUACUACUACUACUACUACUACNNNNNNNNNNNNNNNNNNNNGGUUACGUAUUGUAGUAUACGACGAAACAAGAGAGCGUAGUAAGUACGUCUACUACACACACUCUCUCUCUCUCUCUAACAACGACUCUACCACCGACACACGACGUCUCUCCUCCUCUCUCUCUCUCUCUCUCUCUCUCUCUCUCCAACUAACAUUGUCAUCUCUCCACAAACAGACUGCAUCACUCUUCAC